rnacentral:lncRNA from 1 species
UCCAAAAGAAGCACUCUCCUAACAACAACAGAAGCAUCCACUUAAACAAGAUAAUAAUACAGAAAAAAAUUGACAGUAUUAACAAUUAAUAAUGACAAUACCAUAGGAAGCACGAAACUAAAAGAGAAUAAAGAACUUCACAUGCGAGGAAGGAGCUCACGAACUGAACCAAUUUUGCAGAAAAUAGAGAGAGAGAGAGAGAGGCAGGAGGCUCACGAGUCACGGACUCACAGAGUCUGUUGUCACAAACACGGUGCAGUGGGCCAGUGCCAGAG